rnacentral:rRNA from 1 species
AUUGAGAGUUUGAUCCUGGCUCAGGAUUAACGCUGGCGGCAUGCCUAAUACAUGCAAGUCGAACGAAAGUAGCAAUACUUUAGUGGCGAACGGGUGAGUAACACGUAGGAAACCUACCUCAAAGACGAGGAUAACUACUGGAAACGGUAGCUAAAACUGGAUAGGAUAUACGAAGGCAUCUUUGUAUAUUUAAAAGUCCUUCUGGGAAUGCUAUGAGAUGGUCCUGCGGCGCAUUAGCUAGUUGGUGAGGUAAAGGCCCACCAAGGCGACGAUGCGUAGCUGUGCUGAGAGGCAAAACAGCCACACUGGGACUGAGACACGGCCCAGACUCCUACGGGAGGCAGCAGUAGGGAAUUUUCGGCAAUGGGCGAAAGCCUGACCGAGCAAUGCCGCGUGAAUGAAGAAAUUCUUCGGAAUGUAAAAUUCUGUGGUGAGGGAAGAAAAGUAUUAGAAGGAAAUGGCUAAUAUUUGACGGUACCUUACUAGAAAGCCCCGGCUAACUAUGUGCCAGCAGCCGCGGUAAUACAUAGGGGGCAAGCGUUAUCCGGAAUUAUUGGGCGUAAAGCGUGCGUAGGCGGCCACUUAAGUCUGUCGUGAAAGCCCACAGCUUAACUGUGGAGGGUCGAUGGAAACUGGGAGGCUUGAAUCUAGGAGAGGUAAGUGGAAUUCCAUGUGUAGCGGUAAAAUGCUUAGAUAUAUGGAGGAACACCAGUGGCGAAGGCGGCUUACUGGUCUAGAAUUGACGCUGAUGCACGAAAGCGUGGGUAGCAAACAGGAUUAGAUACCCUGGUAGUCCACGCCGUAAACGAUGAGCACUAAGUGUCGGACGUAAGUUCGGUGCUGAAGUUAACGCAUUAAGUGCUCCGCCUGGGGAGUACGGUCGCAAGACUGAAACUCAAAGGAAUUGACGGGGACUCGCACAAGCGGUGGAGCAUGUGGUUUAAUUCGACGCAACGCGAAAAACCUUACCAGGCCUUGACAUACCGAUGACGUCUUUAGAGAUAGAGAGUUACCUUCGGGUACAUUGGAUACAGGUGGUGCAUGGUUGUCGUCAGCUCGUGUCGUGAGAUGUUGGGUUAAGUCCCGCAACGAGCGCAACCCUUAUCAUUAGUUGCUAACAGUCAGAUGAGCACUCUAAUGAGACUGCCAGCGAAAAGUUGGAGGAAGGUGGGGAUGACGUCAAAUCAUCAUGCCCCUUAUGGCCUGGGCUACACACGUGCUACAAUGGCUGGUACAAAGAGGAGCGAAGCUGUGAAGUGGAGCAAAUCUCAAAAAGCCAGUCUCAGUUCGGAUUGUAGUCUGCAACUCGACUACAUGAAGUUGGAAUCGCUAGUAAUCGUAAAUCAGCAUGUUACGGUGAAUACGUUCUCGAGUCUUGUACACACCGCCCGUCACACCAUGAGAGUUUGUAAUACCCGAAGCCGGUGGCUUAACCGCAAGGAGAGAGCCGUCUAAGGUAGGACAGAUGAUUGGGGUGAAGUCGUAACAAGGUAUCCCUACGAGAACGUGGGGAUGGAUCACCUCCUU